rnacentral:rRNA from 1 species
AGCUCCAAUAGCGUAUAUUAAAGUUGUUGCAGUUAAAAAGCUCGUAGUUGAAUUUCUGGUGUGUCUUAUCGCCGGCUUCGGCCGAGGUAAGGCCGCCAUCCGUCCACAAUUUGCUGUAGUCCUUCACUGGUUCUCUGUAAGGAGUGGACAUUUUACUUUGAAAAAUUAGAGUGUUUCAGGCAGGCUUUUGCCCGAAUACAUUAGCAUGGAAUAAUGGAAUUAGACUCAGUCUAUUUUGUUGGCUAUUGGAUCUGAGUAAUGGUUAAUAGGGACAGUUGGGGGCAUUAGUAUUUAAUUGUCAGAGGUGAAAUUCUUGGAUUUAUUAAAGACUAACUUAUGCGAAAGCAUUUGCCAAGGAUGUUUUCA